AGUGAACGCUGGCGGUAGGCCUAACACAUGCAAGUCGAACGGCAGCACAGUAAGAGCUUGCUCUUACGGGUGGCGAGUGGCGGACGGGUGAGGAAUACAUCGGAAUCUACUUUUUCGUGGGGGAUAACGUAGGGAAACUUACGCUAAUACCGCAUACGACCUACGGGUGAAAGCAGGGGAUCUUCGGACCUUGCGCGAUUGAAUGAGCCGAUGUCGGAUUAGCUAGUUGGCGGGGUAAAGGCCCACCAAGGCGACGAUCCGUAGCUGGUCUGAGAGGAUGAUCGGCCACACUGGAACUGAGACACGGUCCAGACUCCUACGGGAGGCAGCAGUGGGGAAUAUUGGACAAUGGGCGCAAGCCUGAUCCAGCCAUACCGCGUGGGCGAAGAAGGCCUUCGGGUUGUAAAGCCCUUUUGUUGGGAAAGAAAGGCAGCAGGUUAAUACCCCGCUGUUCUGACGGUACCCAAAGAAUAAGCACCGGCUAACUUCGUG
rnacentral:rRNA from 1 species